rnacentral:misc_RNA from 1 species
GAAAUGGGUCUUCAGUCUCUGCAACCGACUUUAAUGACUUUUUCUUUUCAAAAAAAACCAGCAGCCCAAGUACAUAAUAGUAUGGUUGAUUCCUUCCUCUGAAACUUCCCAUUUUUCAAAUUUGAGGGAAUAUUAAAUGAUUUACUAAAUCAGUACCUAUAUAUUUAAUUCUUGGACAUUGCAAUCCUAAUCAAAGAAAAAUAAAGAAGAGAGAAAAAAAACUCUUAGGCUACAGUAAUAUUACUUACUGUUGUUGUGGGUAUUCUCAAAUCAGCUUUUGCGCAUCGAUGUAGAAAUACGUGUGGGUGGUCUAGCCAGCUGCAGUUGCUAAUGCAACUUCCAGAACCUGUGGCCAGUACAAUUUCUAGUAAAAUGUUAUGUGCAUU